GACGAACGCUGGCGGCGUGCCUAAUACAUGCAAGUUGAGCGCUGAAGGUUGGUACUUGUACCAACUGGAUGAGCAGCGGACGGGUGAGUAACGCGUGGGUAAUCUGCCUUUGAGCGGGGGACAACAUUUGGAAACGAAUGCUAAUACCGCAUAAAAACUUUAAACACAAGUUUUAAGUUUGAAAGAUGCAAUUGCAUCACUCAAAGAUGAUCCCGCGUUGUAUUAGCUAGUUGGUGAGGUAAAGGCUCACCAAGGCGAUGAUACAUAGCCGACCUGAGAGGGUGAUCGGCCACAUUGGGACUGAGACACGGCCCAAACUCCUACGGGAGGCAGCAGUAGGGAAUCUUCGGCAAUGGACGAAAGUCUGAACGAGCAACGCCGCGGGAGGGAAGAAGGUUGUCGGAUCGUAAAACUCUGUUGGUAGAGAAGAACGUUGGUGAGAGUGGAAAGCUCAUCAAGUGACGGUAACUACUCAGAAAGGGACGGCUAACUACGUG
rnacentral:rRNA from 1 species